rnacentral:rRNA from 1 species
GACGAACGCUGGCGGCGUGCUUAACACAUGCAAGUCGAGCGGUAAGGCCCUUUCGGGGGUACACGAGCGGCGAACGGGUGAGUAACACGUGGGUGACCUGCCUUUAGCUCUGGGAUAAGCCUGGGAAACCGGGUCUAAUACCGGAUAUGACUCCGCGGUGCAUGCUGUGGGGUGGAAAGCCUUGUGCGGCUGGAGAUGGGCCCGCGGCCUAUCAGCUUGUUGGUGGGGUGAUGGCCACCAAGGCGACGACGGGUAGCCGGCCUGAGAGGGCGACCGGCCACACUGGGGACUGAGACACGGUCCAGACUCCUACGGGAGGCAGCAGUGGGGAAUCUUGCGCAAUGGGCGAAAGCCUGACGCAGCGACGCCGCGUGAGGGAUGACGGCCUCGG